rnacentral:lncRNA from 1 species
GAUGCUCUUUGUUAUCUAACUUCCUCACUCACUUACUUACUUAGAUAAAUUGCUUGCUUAACUCUUCUCCGCGCAUCCUUUAGUUGCAAGCAUAUUCAAUUUACUUAAUCAAGUCUCAUUCAAUAUAACUGCAUUAAGACUCAUUGUAUUGAAUUGCAUACUCGGGCAAACUUAGACUAAUCUUUUAUUGAGUCCGCUGCUUAUUAGUUGAUUAGAUUAGAAUCAUAUUCUUGCUAA